rnacentral:rRNA from 1 species
GCAAGUCGAGCGGAAACGAUGAUAGCUUGCUAUCAGGCGUCGAGCGGCGGACGGGUGAGUAAUACUUAGGAAUCUACCUAGUAGUGGGGGAUAGCACGGGGAAACUCGUAUUAAUACCGCAUACGUCCUACGGGAGAAAGGGGGCAACUUGUUGCUCUCGCUAUUAGAUGAGCCUAAGUCGGAUUAGCUAGAUGGKGGGGUAAAGGCCUACCAUGGCGACGAUCUGUAGCUGGUCUGAGAGGAUGAUCAGCCACACCGGGACUGAGACACGGCCCGGACUCCUACGGGAGGCAGCAGUGGGGAAUAUUGGACAAUGGGGGAAACCCUGAUCCAGCCAUGCCGCGUGUGUGAAGAAGGCCUUUUGGUUGUAAAGCACUUUAAGCAGUGAAGAAGACUCUUCGGUUAAUACCCGGAGACGAUGACAUUAGCUGCAGAAUAAGCACCGGCUAACUCUGUGCCAGCAGCCGCGGUAAUACAGAGGGUGCAAGCGUUAAUCGGAAUUACUGGGCGUAAAGCGAGCGUAGGUGGCUUGAUAAGUCAGAUGUGAAAUCCCCGGGCUUAACCUGGGAACUGCAUCUGAAACUGUUAGGCUAGAGUAGGUGAGAGGGAAGUAGAAUUUCAGGUGUAGCGGUGAAAUGCGUAGAGAUCUGAAGGAAUACCGAUGGCGAAGGCAGCUUCCUGGCAUCAUACUGACACUGAGGCUCGAAAGCGUGGGUAGCAAACAGGAUUAGAUACCCUGGUAGUCCACGCCGUAAACGAUGUCUACUAGUCGUUGGGUCCCUUGAGGACUUAGUGACGCAGCUAACGCAAUAAGUAGACCGCCUGGGGAGUACGGCCGCANGGUUAAAACUCAAAUGAAUUGACGGGGGCCCGCACAAGCGGUGGAGCAUGUGGUUUAAUUCGAUGCAACGCGANGAACCUUAC